rnacentral:rRNA from 1 species
CCUACGAGUGGCAGCAGUGAGGAAUAUUGGUCAAUGGGCGCGAGCCUGAACCAGCCAAGUAGCGUGAAGGAUGACUGCCCUACGGGUUGUAAACUUCUUUUAUAAAGGAAUAAAGUGAGGCCCGUGUGCCUUUUUGUAUGUACUUUAUGAAUAAGGAUCGGCUAACUACGUGCCAGCAGCCGCGGUAAUACGGAGGAACCGAGCGUUAUCCGGAUUUAUUGGGUUUAAAGGGAGCGUGGAUGGGUUGUUAAGUCAGUUGUGAAAGUUUGCGGCUCAACCGUAAAAUUGCAAUUGAUACUGGCAGUCUUGAGUACAGUUGAGGUAGGCGGAAUUCGUGGUGUAGCGGUGAAAUGCUUAGAUAUCACGAAGAACUCCGAUUGCGAAGGCAGCUUACUAAACUGCCACUGACAUUGAUGCUCGAAAGUGUGGGUAUCAAACAGGAUUAGAUACCCCUGUAGUC